rnacentral:rRNA from 1 species
CCUACGGGUGGCAGCAGUGAGGAAUAUUGGUCAAUGGACGAGAGUCUGAACCAGCCAAGUAGCGUGAAGGAUGACUGCCCUACGGGUUGUAAACUUCUUUUAUAAGGGGAUAAAACGAGGCACGUGUGCCUUUUUGCAUGUACUUUAUGAAUAAGGAUCGGCUAAAUCCGUGCCAGCAGCCGCGGUAAUACGGAGGGCCCGAGCGUUAUCCGGAUUUAUUGGGGUUAAAGGGAGCGUAGAUGGGUCGUUAAGUCAGUUGUGAAAGUUUGGGGCUCAACCGUAGACUUGCAAUUGAUACUGGCAGUCUUGAGUACAGUUGAGGUAGGCGGAAUUCGUGGUGUAGCGGUGAAAUGCAUAGAUAUCACGAAGAACCCCGAUUGCGAAGGCAGCUUACUAAGCUGUGACUGACGUUGAGGCUCGAAGGUGUGGGUAUCAAACAGGAUUAGAUACCCUGGUAGUC